AACGAAGUGCGGGAAAGGCUUGGGGAGGGUUACUCAGGGCAGAAAAAACCCUUAGUUUGUCCAGAGCUGUAUUCUAGGUUCAGGAAAGGGAGGGAGAAAAUGGGGGUUCCGUCUUUGAACUGGGUCAGAAGUACAAAGAGUUCAAAAAUUGUCUUCCUGCCAGAGAAAGAGAAGCAUUUCGUUCUUUCGAGAAAGAAUGGAAGUGAAGGAGCAUGGGAUAAUAGUGAUGUAGUUUAUUAUAAAUGAUUAUCUCAGCUUCAAAGAAAUCAUUAAUCAGUUCCUGAGUGGGGAAUCUGGUGGAGCAGAAAAGAAAAGGUGGUUUAAUUCUGAAUCAGGGAAAUUGAUUUGACAGCUUGAUUCAUCUGGGACCCCGGUUUUCAGGGAGGCUGAAAAUAUAUCAAGGAACUAGUAUAAAAGGAACCUAGACUGAAACCUACCCUUCUGAUGGGGCCUGAAGACUUGGAUGUGCCAUCGUGCCUCGAGGUCUGACAGUAAUAGUGAACCUUUGGCAAUGAUUAUAUUAAAUGGAUGUACGGUUUAUAUUCA